GCAGGAUUAGUCUAAUGGUUAAGGUGCGGACUCCCAGAUGAAAGUUUCUGGGUUCGAACCCCAAUGCCUGCA